rnacentral:rRNA from 1 species
AACAAACGCUGGCGGCGUGCCUAAUACAUGCAAGUCGAACGGGGAAAGCUUUCGGGCGAGUACUAGUGGCGCACGGGUGAGGAACACGUGGAUAAUCUGCCUUGGAGAGGGGGAUAACUAGUCGAAAGAUUAGCUAAUACCGCAUAAGACCACAGGAACUGAGGUUCUAGGGGUCAAAGGUUUUUCGCUCCAAGAUGAGUCUGCGUAAGAUUAGCUAGUUGGUGAGGUAAUGGCUCACCAAGGCGACGAUCUUUAACUGGUCUGAGAGGAUGGUCAGUCACACUGGAACUGAGACACGGUCCAGACGCCUACGGGAGGCAGCGUUAGGGAAUAUUGCACAAUGGAGGAAACUCUGAUGCAGCGACGCCGCGUGAGUGAUGAAGGCCUUCGGGUCGUAAAGCUCUGUCGCAGGGGAAUAAAAAAAUGAAGGUACCCUGCAAGAAAGGAUCGGCUAACUUCGUGCCAGCAGCCGCCGCCG